UACGGGAGUGGCAAGCGUUAUCCGGAAUUAUUGGGCGUAAAGCGUCCGCAGGCGGUCUUGAAAGUCUGUUGUUAAAGCGUGGAGCUCAACUCCAUUUAAGCAAUGGAAACUAGAAGACUAGAGUGUGGUAGGGGCAGAGGGAAUUCCCGGUGUAGCGGUGAAAUGCGUAGAUAUCGGGAAGAACACCAGUGGCGAAGGCGCUCUGCUGGGCCAUAACUGACGCUCAUGGACGAAAGCCAGGGGAGCGAAAGGGAUUAGAUACCCCUGUAGUCCUGGCCGUAAACGAUGAACACUAGGUGUCGGGGGAAUCGACCCCCUCGGUGUCGUAGCCAACGCGUUAAGUGUUCCGCCUGGGGAGUACGCACGCAAGUGUGAAACUCAAAGGAAUUGACGGGGGCCCGCACAAGCGGUGGAGUAUGUGGUUUAAUUCGAUGCAACGCGAAGAACCUUACCAGGGUUUGACAUCCUGCGAAUCCCUUGGAAACUUGGGAGUGCCUUCGGGAGCGCAGUGACAGGUGGUGCAUGGCUGUCGUCAGCUCGUGUCGUGAGAUGUUGGGUUAAGUCCCGCAACGAGCGCAACCCACGUCUUUAGUUGCCAGCAUUGAGUUGGGCACUCUAGAGAGACUGCCGGUGAUAAACCGGGGGAAGGUGUGGAUGACGUCAAGUCAUCAUGCCCCUUACAUCCUGGGCUACACACGUACUACAAUGCUACGGACAAAGGGCAGCAAACUCGCGAGAGCUAGCAAAUCCCAUAAACCGUGGCUCAGUUCAGAUCGUAGGCUGCAACUCGCCUACGUGAAGGAGGAAUCGCUAGUAAUCGCAGGUCAGCAUACUGCGGUGAAUACGUUCCCGGGCCU
rnacentral:rRNA from 1 species